rnacentral:rRNA from 1 species
CACGGGGGCAACCCUGGUGGCGAGUGGCGAACGGGUGAGUAACACAUCGGAACGUACCCUAUCGUGGGGGAUAACCAGUCGAAAGAUUGGCUAAUACCGCAUGAACUGGAGACAGCAAAGCAGGGGACCGCAAGGCCUUGCGCGAUUGGAGCGGCCGAUGUCCGAUUAGCUAGUUGGCGGGGUAAGAGCCCACCAAGGCGACGAUCAGUAGCUGGUCUGAGAGGACGACCAGCCACACUGGGACUGAGACACGGCCCAGACUCCUACGGGAGGCAGCAGUGGGGAAUUUUGGACAAUGGGGGCAACCCUGAUCCAGCAAUGCCGCGUGAGUGAAGAAGGCCUUCGGG